rfam:Asian citrus Psyllid, Diaphorina citri - Florida Strain, whole genome shotgun sequence.
GCUCCCGUGGCGUAGUGUCACUGCGCUCGCCUUGCACGCGGGAGACCCGGGUUCGAUUCCCGGCGAAGUCA